UAUAAUAUAUAUAAUAUAUAAUAUAUUUAUUAAAUAUAUUAUAUUUAAUAUAAUAUUGUUUAAAUUUAUGCAUAUGUAACUAUAUAAAUGCCAUUUUAUAUCCUUAAAUUAUAGAAAUUAGUAUAUGAUGAGAAAAUUUAUUUGCUUUGUAUUCUGAAAUAAUUUUGAUGUUGAGUGGAAAUAUGAAAUUUUAAUCGGUAUUUCCAAAGAAAACAAAUAGAAUUGUGUUGAGGAAAAUUUCCCCCAAAGUUUGUGCUCAGCAUUUUGUACAUAGACACAAAAUUAUGAGUAAAAAUUAUGGAUUUUUUUCUUAAUAUGUACUGAAUAGAAAGAAUUCACUGUAAAUGCAGGGCACUGGGAUGAAUUUCCAAAAUAGUUGUUCAUUCCUUUAUUCAUUCUCUAAUGCAGUAAAUAUUUACUGAGUGCUUAUUAUAUGAAACAGAUUCUAAAGCACAAGAGACACUCAAUAGAGAAGAAAUUCUUCUUUUUAUUGGGUUUAUGGUGAAAAUCUGAAUGUCUUAAAUGAAGAUUAAGUCAAAUAUAAAGAUACAGCUAAUCAGCCAGCAUGGUAGUGCACAUCUGUAGUCCCAGUUAGUUGGGAGGGGCUGAGGUGGGACAGUCGCUUGAGCCCGGGAAGUUGAGGCUGCAGUCAGCCCUGAUCACACCACUGCACUCCAGCCUGUGACAAGAGUAAGCCCCUGUCUACAAAAAAUAAAUUAUCAAAUCAAAUGAAGCCAAAUCAAAUAAAGAUGUAGCUAAGAGGAAUAGCUUU
rnacentral:lncRNA from 1 species